AGGUCUUGACAUCCCAAUGACCGUCUUAGAGAUAAGAUUUUCCCUUCGGGGACAUUGGUGACAGGUGGUGCAUGGUUGUCGUCAGCUCGUGUCGUGAGAUGUUGGGUUAAGUCCCGCAACGAGCGCAACCCUUAUUCUUAGUUGCCAUCAUUUAGUUGGGCACUCUAAGGAGACUGCCGGUGACAAACCGGAGGAAGGUGGGGAUGACGUCAAAUCAUCAUGCCCCUUAUGACCUGGGCUACACACGUGCUACAAUGGACGGUACAAAGAGCUGCAAGCCCGCGAGGGUUAGCCAAUCUCAUAAAACCGUUCUCAGUUCGGAUUGUAGUCUGCAACUCGACUACAUGAAGCCGGAAUCGCUAGUAAUCGCGGAUCAGCAUGCCGCGGUGAAUACGUUCCCGGGCC
rnacentral:rRNA from 1 species